rnacentral:rRNA from 1 species
AUGAGAGAAUAUUCUUUUUUUGUUACCCGAAACCGUAGAACGAGUCUGAUAAGUGCCACACGUGUGGCACGAACACAAGGCAACCGUAAAAUAGGGGGAUGGAGUAUCCCUCCUAGGGGAUUUGUGAAGCUGAAUGUUGAUGCCUCUUUCGAUCAUGAUCUCCUUCAAGGUACAACUGGUGCGGUCCUAAGAGCUGAUAAGGGAAGGUUCAUCGUUGGAGGAAACUGGAGGAUUGACUGGUGUGAUAGUGUAUUAACAGCUGAAGUUCUGGCUCUUCAAUUUAGUUUAUUCCUAGAACAGAAGGCGGGCUGCAAUCGCCUUGUUGUAAACUCAGAUAACAUGGAAGUGAUCAACAUAAUCAAGAAUGGAGGACACUUGGCGGGAGCGGCAGCUGCAGUUUUUGAUGCUUGUUACUUUUUGGCUUGUGAUUUUCCUAGAGUUAAAUUUGAACACUGUAAUAGGGAAGCAACUAGAGUGGCCCAUGAAAUAGCUAGGUUAGCAAAAUUUUCAGCCACUAGGGAUUGGUUUGAGGAGCCGAUGAAGGAUAUUAUACCUCUUCUUAUGGAUGAUGUAACAAUAAUUUCUAAUUAA